rnacentral:tRNA from 1 species
CUCCCUAUAGCACAAUGGCAGUGCACAGGACUGUAGAUCCUAGGAUGGCGGUUCGAUUCCGCCUAGGUAGA